rnacentral:lncRNA from 1 species
UUCUUCAUAGAGAGCCUCCAUGAUUCAAUCAUUGAGUCACAAUAGGUAAGCAACUGAGUAAUAUUAUAAUUUUUGCAUAAUAAAAUCUAAUGUUGUAAUGAUUUUCGGCCAACACUUGUUUCAGUUGCAGGUUGAUACUUGUUCACAGCUCCACAAAUACAAUGUCCAUUUCUGCAGUGUGGUUGAUAUGGAAAGCAGUAAACCUCACACUGCUUCCAAUCAUUACACGCAUGUUGAGCUGAUACUUCCAAGCAUGGUGAACCUUUAACAAAAUCAAAUGUCAUUUUUAGGCUCAAUGUAGUACCAUAGAUUCAAAAAUAAAUAGGGAUGAUCAAGGAUUUAAUUAUGGUGAGAGAAAAAAACAAACAAAUAAUAACUUAUAAUAAGUCAAUAAAUAAAUACUUAUAUAAUAUAGCAUAUUAUGAAAAUAUAUUAGGUCAAGUGUAUUAAGCCUAAUUCUUUUAAAGAAAAAGUGAUUUACUCGUACUCAUUAGAAGAAAGAGAAGACAAUCUCGACUCCCUUUUUCUUCAUAUAAAAAAGUGGAAGAUUACUCGUAUAAGAAAUUUAUGUAACAUCUAGUUAUGUUGAAAUCUUUGCACCAAAUAGUAACCGAAGAUUAGAGGGUUUUUUUUUUUUUGAAAAAAAAACAAAAUCAAACAACUUUAGUGACAAAAAAGGGAGUUUGAUGACUCUAUAUACGAAAGAUUAAAAAAAACAUAGGAGAUACUGAAUGGACCAAGAUGAAUGAAGAUCACCAUACCAAUUACAGCCAACACUAUGUAGACCAAGAAAAUUGAAGUUAGGGAAAUCUUUCUCAUAUUAUCUAGUUCCAAAGACUAAC